rnacentral:snRNA from 1 species
AGGAGACAAGUAUAACAUUGACA